rnacentral:rRNA from 1 species
UACGUAGGGACCGAGCGUUGUCCGGAAUCAUUGGGCGUAAAGAGCGUGUAGGCGGCCUUUUAAGUCCUGCGUGAAAUCCUGCGGCUCAACCGCAGACGGUCGUGGGAAACUGGAAGGCUAGAGUGCGGGAGAGGAGAGUGGAAUUCCCGGUGUAGUGGUGAAAUGCGUAGAUAUCGGGAGGAACACCAGUGGCGAAGGCGACUACCUGGCCUGUUUCUUGACGCUGAGGCGCGAAAGCUAGGGGAGCAAACGGG